rnacentral:rRNA from 1 species
UACGUAGGUGGCAAGCGUUGUCCGGAUUUACUGGGCGUAAAGAGCGCGCAGGCGGCUGGUCAAGUCCGAUGUGAAAUCUCCCGGCUUAACUGGGAAACUGCAUCGGAAACUGAUCGGCUUGAAGGUGGGAGAGGGUAGUGGAAUUCCCGGUGUAGUGGUGAAAUGCGUAGAUAUCUGGAGGAACACCGGUGGCGAAGGCGGCAUUCUGGACCGAUAUUGACGCUGAGGAGCGAAAGCCAGGGGAGCAAACGGG